AGAAGGAGUGUGGUCCACCGGAGGACUCCCUACAUUCUUCCUCCAUUACCUCACUGCCUCCGGUGGCUGCUGGGAUACCGGAGGACUCGGGUCCCGGCUCGACUCAGUCCUCCAGCCGCCCGGGGAAUACCUCUAGUUCUUCCCGGCCGCCGCCGCCGCCGCCGCCCCGCCGCUUCCUCCUCCGCCUGCCGGCCUCCUUCGCCCCGUCCCGUCCGCGCAGCGCGUCCGGCCCGCCCGCAGGCCAGCUUCUCUCGGGAGCCCCCACCCAGGCGCAUGGCUCCAUGAAGCAAGAGGAGGAGGCAGAGCGCGAGAGGUCCCGUCCGCCCCAGCCGCGUCUGGGCCAGGAUAAAAGCAAAACCAUAUUCCUGCUGCUGUCAGUUAUGAUGCACUGAGAAAACUUCAGAGACCUAAACUUUUUCCAGAGAAGAGAAGCUUUACUGGUGUUCCAGCCCUAAGAAACCUUUGUUCAAGAAAACGGCAGAUGCUCUGUUGAAUCCACUGGAGAUUGUUCUGAUACUAAGGACAAGUAUCAACCAUCUUUCCUGUGAAAAAUUCCCUCUCGUACUUUAGUUCUGUGGAUCCAAAAUUUAUAGCAUUCUUCUACCACCACAGGGGCUCAUAUGACAUUAACAGACAAGACACUUUUCAGAAAGACAGGUCAAUGGCACAUGCGUAGGUUUGUUAUGUAGGUAAACUAGUGUCACAGGGAUUUGUUGUGCAGAUUAUUUCACCACCCAGCUAUUAAGCCUAGUACCCAUUAAUUGUUUUUCCUGAUCUUCUGCUUCCUCCCACCAUCCACCCUCCCAGAGGCCCCAGUGUCUGUUGUUUCCCUCUAUGUGUUCAUGUGUUCUCAUAAUUUAGCUCCCAUUUGUAAAUGAGAACAUGCAGUAUUUGGUUUUCUGUUCCUGCCUUAGUUUGUUAAGGAUAAAGACCUCCAUCCAGCUCCAUCCAUGUUCCUGCAAAGGACUUGAUCUCACUCUCUUUUAUGGCUGCCUAACAUUCCAUGGUGUAUAUGAACCACAAAAUAAAGAUGGUUCUUAACUUUUAAAUUAAGAUUUUUAAAUUAAGAUGAAUCUUGAUUUUUAAAUUAGUAUGGUUUUAAGAUAGUUUUACAGAUAGAUUAGAUAAUCUAUCUAGAGAUAGAUAGGGAGAGAUAUCUAUCAAUACAUAUCUCUAUCUAGAUAUAGAUAGAUGGUUUUCUAUAUAGACCUAUCUAUCUAUAUAUGUAUACAUCUAUAUAUGUCUACACAUAUCUCUAUACACAUAUAUAUAUAUUUAUAUCUACAUCUAUAUUUCUACAUGUAUAUAGGUAUGUAUAUAUCUACAUGUAUAUAUGUAUAUAGAUAGAUAUAUACAUAGGUAUCUGUAUAUAUGCAUAUACAUGCCUAUCUAUCUUUAUCUACAUGUAUUACAUAGAUAGGGUAAUUACUGAUAAAUCCUUUGGCCUUCUUUGUAAAUCUCUGGGCUAAAGACCCCUCCAGUAUUAUACAUGUUCUGGUCUAGAUUGCUCACUCACCAGUUCUCCUCACUAUCUAGAGAAGAUCCACUUAGCAGGCCUCCCCUUAAAGAAGGGCACCUUAACUGGACUCACUCCUCCCAUAGUAGACUGCACAGUACACAAGCAGAAGAGGAGAGCUCAAUAAUAAAGUCACCAUAAAGGAUAAUUUUUAAAUGAAUAAAGAAAUCAGAAAAUCCAGUAUUGGCUAGCACAUAUGGCUAUCAGCAAGCUCACCCUACAAAAAAAUAGUGAGAAAACAGUUCGAAUAUUGGCCGUUUGGGGCACAUAUUCUAUAAAAAGGAAAAGUUUUGAAAUGUAUAUAUAUUUAAUUUAACUCUAAAAUAUUUGUAAGGCAAGCCCAGUGGCUCACACCUAUAAUUUCAGAACUUUGGGAGGCCAGGGCAGGAGGAUCGCUUGAGGCCAGGAGACCAGCCUGGGCAACAUGGCAAGACCCCAUAUCUACAGAUGGUUUUAAAAAAUUAGCCAGGUAUAACACGAUGAAACCCCGUCUCUACUAAAAAUAUAAAAAUUAGCCGGGCAUGGUGGUGGGCGCCUGUAGUCCCAGCUACUCGGGAGGCUGAGGCAGGAGAAUGGCAUGAACCCGGGAGGCAGAGCUUGCAGUGAGCCAAGAUCAUGCCACUGCACUCCAGCCUGGGCAACAGAGCGGAGACUCCAUCUCAAAAAAAAAAAAAAGAAAAUUAGCCAGGUAUGGUGGCACACACUUGUGGUCCCGUCUAUUUAGGAGGUUGGGGCAGGAGAAUUGCUUGAGCCCAGGAGUUUGAGGCUGCAGUGAGCUAUGAUCAUGCCACUGCACUCUAGCCUGGGUGAUAGAACAAGACCCUGUCUCUUAAAAAAAAAAAAAAAUUGUAUUAUGCACCAGGUACAAUGUGCUAGGUACUGGGGAGAGAUCUUAAAAAAAUGUAUUAUACACCAGGUACAAUGUGCUAGGUGCUGGGGAGAGAUCAGGGGAUAAAGCAGACCAAAAUUUCUGUCCUCAUGGAGCUUGUGGUCUAAAGGAGGAAAAAAGGCAAUAAACAAAUUAAAAAAGAGGAAUACAAAGUAUGUGGGUAGGGAUGAGUACAACAGAGGAAAAUCAAGCAGGAAAGAUAGAACUCUGGAAAGAAGUAGGGCCAGUGUCAAACAGGAUGGCCAGGGAAGGCCACACUGAGAAGGUGACACCAAAGCAAAGACCUACAGGAGGUGAAGUGGUGAGCCAUUCAGGUCACUAAAGGAGGCAUGUUCCCAGGAGAGGGGACGACAAUGCAAAGGCAAGAAGGAGCACCAGCGUGUGUGUUGAGAAAAGCAUGGGGACCCAAGCAGCUAAAGUGGAACACAUGUAAGAAGAAUAACCGUAAUGAGGUCUGAGAGACAACUGGGUGGGAAGUGUCUUAAUCUGUUUGUGUUACUAUAAAGGAAUAUCUGAGUCUGGGUAAUUUAUAAAGAAAAGGAGGUUUGUUUAGGUCACAAUUCUAUAGGCUGUACAAAAAUCAGCACCAGUAUCUACAUCAGGUAAAGGCUGGAGGUUGCUUCCACUCAUGGCAAAAGGGGAAGGGGAGCCAGUGUGUGCAGAGAUCACAGGGUGAGAGAGGAAGCAAGAGAGAGAGGGAAGCACCGGGCUCUUUUAAAAAACCAGCUCUUGGGAAAACUAAUAGAGAACUCACUCACUACUCUCACCAUGGCAGGGCAUUAAUCUAUUUAUGAGGGAUCCAUCCUUAUGAUCCAAACACCUCCCACUAAACCCGACUUCCAACACUGGGGAUCAGAUUUCAACAUGAGAUUUGAAGCGGACAAAUAUCUAAACUACAGCAAAGAGUACAGAUCGGGAGGCAUGGCAAGCUCUGCUGGUCACUCCAAUGGAGUCAACAUUUCAAGAAUGUUACAAGCAGCUGGGUUGGUGGCUGAUGCCUAUAAUCCCAGCACUUUAAAAGGCUGAAGUAGAAGGAUCACUUGAGGCCAGGAAUUCAAGACCAGCCUGGGCAACAUAAAGAGACCCUGUCUCUACCAACAAUUUAAAAAAAAAAAAAAAAAAAAAAAAAGCCAGGCAUGGCAGCGAGCACCUGUUGUCCUAGGUUCUCAGGAGCCUGAGGCAGGAAGAUUACUUGAGCCCAGGGGGUUGAGGCUGCAGUGGGCCACAACUGCCCCACUGCACUACAGCCUGAACAACAAAGUGAGAUCCUGUCUCUUAAAAAAAUUAAGAAAGAAAGAAAAGAAAACAGUAUUAAACCAGUUUUCUAGCAGCACAUAGGGGAAGAGUCUGUUGUCCUCCCAGAUCUCUGGCCAAGGCCCUGGCAGAGGCAAGAAUUACAAAGACCCUAACCUGUUGUUUCCUAGCUCCCCAGAGACACUAGGGAAAGCUAUCUCAAGGGCAAACACAUGUUGACUGGUCUCAAGGAGUAAGGGGUUAUUGUUCCCUCCCCUGGAGAGAGUGCAAUCAAGGGGAGUUGGACAACCCAUCUUUGCUCUACUUGCUGCUUCCUUUUUUCACCAACUAUAAGUCCUUUGGGUUCUGUAUAACCAGAUCCCUGAUUCCUCUAGCCAAAAUUGGUUUCAUUUUGACCAGAGACUGGUUACAACACACCUUUCUACCACCACCUCUAUUAGAAGAUUUAACUCUUUGUUUCUCUAAUAAUCUCUUUUCAUACUUAAUUGUGAGCCCCUUAAGAGACACAUCUUACUACUUAUUGUGUUUUCUGUGCCUAAGUAUUCUGUGUAAUACUUACAACUUACUGCAUCUUCUGAUGCAAAAAAAAAAGUUUAAAAGGAAAUGGAUUGUCAUCUGCUGAAUCAGGCUAAGGGUAGGUCCUGGAAGAUACUCCUUCCAAACCUUAUAAUCAGAGGUGACUGCACAGUUGGCUUACAAGAGCCUCUUUUCAAAGUAAUUGGGGAUGCAGUGCUUAGAACUGGGCUGGCAUUGUAAUUUUUUUAGGAAUCUGCUCCCAUUUACAAGACGUUCCAUCAUAAAAAUCAAAUCAUAAAAUCAAAUCCAAGUAUGUUCAUUUGGUAUAUUCAUUUUCCACUUCUUACUAGGGGUGGUGGGGGAGGAGAAGCUGGUACAGGAGAAAUGUCUUUUAUUUCCCCUCUAUAACAAUGGUAUAAUUCCAAAUCUUAUAGACCAUCACACAGUUCUGUUAGUUGAUUGUUUUCCGUGGAUUCUACCCUGCCAGGAGACACAAUAAAUAACUUUUUGAAACUUCAUUCUUCAGUCCUGGGAGUUUUUACAAAUAAAAGGACACACAUGUUGAGACAAAUUACAUGCUUGAAAAUCUGUCACUAACAUCAAUUUCAUGUUAAAAAGUACUAAGCAACUAUUACAGUGGCAUUUCUUUUGUUGUUGGGGAAAAUAAUGUGAAUAGCUAUGCUAAUUCAGAGAUAAUUUUCAAAUUUCGUGACUAAAUAAAAAAGCUAAGAGUAGUUCACUAGGUAAUGUUUGGGAGGGAGUUGUUGGUUUUGUUGAUUUAUUAUAUCUUGACUGGUAUGAUUGAAAUGAAUUAAAUGUUAGACGUGCUUAACAUUUUAUAUGCUAUAUAUCAUCAUAAUAGCAAAGUGCACAGAUCACAUUAUUGAGUGCCUUUGGAUUUUAAAAAUAAAGAUUGCUAUUCAGAUGAAUACCAUUUCAUUAUUGCCUGCACUACUCUGUCAAAUUAAAAAAUAUAAUAGCUAUCUUUAUUCUCGUUUUAAAGCAUGAUAAUCAUCAAAAUGUUGAAGUUUAUCACAGUUCUACAUUAAAAAUAAGUCAUUUUUGUAGAUGAGUUAUCCAAUACAGCAAAGGCCAUCAAAGAGAAAGCCAAUACUUUCAUGGAGAGCUCAGAGCCUUAAUAGAUCCCAGCAGCAAUGCUUCAACCAUUCCCAACUCCAUGUUCCUUGCUAGAUGCUCCUCACCCCAAACUCCUGCAAAUUUCAAGAAUUUCUGUGUAUGUGUGUGUUAAGGGAGGAGUUUUAAAGUAUCUCUGUAUUCAACAAGAUACGUCAGCUUGUAAGCAGCAGAAACCUACUUAAACUAGCUUACAUGAGAAAAUAACAUUAUAAAGACAUAGGAGUGUUUCUACACCAAGAGCUGGAGGUAUUGUUUGGUUUCAUGAAGGAUUAAAAUCUGUAAUUCAAAAGUAGACUCAGGCAGCUGCACAUCAAUCUGUGUCUUUCUCUCUGGUACUGUGGACUCUAUCCUGUCUGACUUGCUUUGUUCCUGGGCAUCAUUCUUGCUCUGGAAAACACACUUUCCCUGCUCAUUUUUUUAUUUUAAUGCUUAGGUUCAAUCUGCUCAUUUUUCCCUACAGCAGAAGACAGCUUACUGUGUUCCAGCAAACAACAGAGCCUGACCAGCCUCUCUGAAUAUGGGGCCCCCUUCUCACUCACAAGUAUUCUUAACCUGGGGUCCAUGUGGGGUUUGUGAAUUUGGAUAGGAUUUUAAAAUUACAUUUUCAUUUCCACUAAUCUCUAACCGAAAUUCAGUCUUUUCUUCAACUGUGAAUGUAGGCAGCAAGCCACAGUGGAACUUGCCGAACCUAUAAAUUUGUCACUGUGAUUGAUGUUAUAAUGUUACACCUAGAUCUUCUUUCAGAAAUGAGGACUUACCCCAGCUACUAUGAAAGCUGUUGGCAGAGUGCCCUCAGCUGGCAGCCCCAGGGAAAUGGCCUCAGUUGCAGAGAGCCACCUCAGCUGGGUAAUAAACACCUGGCCCUCUUUGAUUCAGGGCACUUCUGAAGGGUCAUAUAAUCUUCAGACCUUCUGUAAGGUUGGCUGAAGCUUCCUCUCAGACUUCAUCACAGCUCAAUGUCAUCCUUCUCUGACCAGUUCCACCUUGCCUUCCCUCAUGUUGAUGUCAAGAGCGUUCCCUAGCAAACUCCCCAAAUGCCAAUCUCCAGCUUAGAUUCUGCUUUCUGGGGAAACUGAACUGUGACAGUUACUAAUACAAAGAAUCAAUAUUUUUAUGUCACAUUAUACUUAGAUAGCUUGAAAUAUAUAUGCUCAUCCCCACCUCAAUAUUUCAGCCUUCUGGAUCUAGUUACUUAAUACAUUAUUAAAAAACUUUUUACUAUAUCAAAAAUUACUUUUUAAACGUUUUAGUAACUGUAUUUCAAGAUAAUUUUCUGUGUUAUCCUAUGCCUUUUAUUUUAUGCAUCUUAAAACAUCAUUCUGAGAAGGAGCCUAUAGGCUUUAUCACUGCCAAAGGAGUCCAUGGCAAAAAAAAAAAAAAAAAAAAAAGUUGGAGGAGUCAAGAACCCCUGGGAACUAUCUCAGGAGAUCUUGGUUUUUUGCAGGGCUUUCAGCACCAUCCAUUUUCCAGCGGCUCCUUAAUCGAUGUCACUCCUUCCCCAUUGCUCCAGUGCUACUCAGCUGAACUCACCAAUUGCUCUUAACUGAUCUUUUACAUCACCGUUCAUUGCUCCCAUCCAUUUUCCCUACAGACACCAGAAUGGUUUAAAUAUAUAUACAUAUAUAUAUAUGCAGAGCAUGAUAGCUCAUGCCUGUAACCCCAACACUUUGGGAGGCCAAGGAGGGAGAAUCACUUGGGGUCAGGAGUUCGAGGCCAGCCUGGUGAAACCCCCAUCUCUACUAAAAAUACAAAAAUUAACCAGGCAUGGUGGCAUGCACCUGUAAUUCCAGCUACUUGGGAGGCUGAGGCGUGAGAAUUGCUUGAACCCAGGAGGCAGAGGCUGCAGUGAGCUGAGAUCACACCAGUGCACUCCAGCCUGGGUGAUGGAGUGAGACUCUGUCUCAAAACAGAACAAAACAAAUAUAUAUAUAUAUAUAUGCACACACACACGUAUACACACACACACACACACACACACACACAUAUAUAUAUAUACACACACACACACACACACACACAGAAUAAAUAUGCCUGGAGUUAAUUCUAAAAUAAUAGUUAACAUUCCCCAGAUUUUUACUAUGAGCCAAACUCUCUGCUAUUAUUGCAUUAAUAUAUUUAACAGGCCUAUGAGGUAUGUACUGUCAUUAUCACUAUUCCAUACAUGUGAAAACUAAAGAUUAUAGAAGAAAAAUCACUUUUCUAAAAUCACAUACCUAAUAGUAAGUGGCAGAAUUGAACUGGUAAUCUCAGAGCCAAAGCUCACUCUUUAUCUUUUUGAAAAAUAACUUUUUAUUUUAAAAAAUUUCAAACAUACCCCAAAAACACAAGGAGAUGUAUAACAAAUUCCCAUGUACUUAUCACCCAGUCUUAGCAACUUUCAAUAUUUUGACAGUUUUAUUUUAUCUGUUAUCAUUUCCCUUGGCACUCCCACAUUUUCUUUCUUUAUAUCUGGAAUAUUUAUUAAAGCAAACUCCAGACAUCACAGAAUUUCACCCAAUACAAUAGUAGAACCAUUAGAGCCCAGUAGAAUACUUCAGUAGAAUAAUGCUUUAAAAAUGUUUCUCUAGUCAUGCCAUUCCCUGUUUCAAAUACUUUAGCACAUUCCUAUUCUACUUAGGAUAAAUCCUCCACAGGACCUGUAGACUUCUGAGUCACAUGGCCCAGGCCUCCCUUCCAAACACCAUUUGAUGACCCUCUGCCUUGCUCAAGAAAACACUGGGCCUACUGACCUUCUCUUAAUACUGGUAACUCCUUAUCACUGAGUCAGGACCUUCUUUUCUUAAGCCCAGGAGACUUUUUCUUCCACUCAUUCUCCUGUGUAAAUGUCCUCUCCUUAGAGACAUCAUCCUAUGUUGAUUCAGAUUCCAAGUUCUCUCCAGUCUAAUUCUCCUUCAGCUGAAUUCUUUCUUACAGCGUCCUGUUCUUGGCUUUCAUUUGAUUUCUCACAAUUAAUAAUUUUGCAUAUAUUUGCAUGUUUGUCUGUCUCUGCUACUGGGCUGUAAGAGACCUGUCAGUUUUGCUCACUGGUCUAUACCUAGUCUCAACAUAGUACUUGGCAUAUAGUAAGCACUCAUUAAACUGUGAAGUGUGUGUGUGUGUGUGUGUGUGUGUGUGUAUGUAUACAUAUAUAUAUGUACAUACACAUUUUAGUGUAUGUAUAUUCUCAUGUAUUCUAUGAGAUUAUGGGCAAGUGUAUCCUAUAUUACAUAUAAAGACAGUAAGAGAAUAACUUACAGAGUUAAAAGUAAGUGUAAAAGGAGCAGUUAUAUUAAAUUUUGAAAAGAAUAAACUAUUAAUUAUGUAAUUCUCCAUUGUUCCAUGAAAACAGAUGUGACUAUUCAUUAGCACUGACUAAUGAAGGAUAUGUUAUUUCAGAUAAUCUAUCAAAAAAAAUACCCUCUUUCCAGCAUAUAAAAUCUUUCUCUCCCCAUUGUCCUCAAGAGCUAGGACUUUAUAACCUACUUUUAUUUUGGUCCUAAAAAUAUUUUUUCUCAAAAAUGCUUUAGAAGUAAUUGAGAUCAUCAAUAAGAAAUUUAUGCAGCUUUCUUGGAAAUGUUAUGAGUUAGGUCCUAGCAACCUAUCUCUAAGGCUAUGAAGCACUGAUAGUCUGGCAUCUAUUUUAUCUGAACCAACUCCCUGCUUCAGAAACUGCUGUCUUGAAAUACCGUUCUGGGCUGAAUAUCUAUUGCAGUAUGUAUAAAAUGGAAUUACAGGCCAUUGCUACAUUUGCUGCAGUUACUGGCAUGAUGGAUUAUAGGUACUCAGUCAGACUGCAUUUAGCAUUAUGAUUUAGUAAAGUAGCUGAAAGAGGAACAUUUGUUCUCUUUUUGUUUUGCAAUAAUGUUUUUAUUAGAAAUAUAUGUACAUUGUUGAAAACUGGAAAAUGCCAAAAAUAGAAGGAAAAGAGUGAAAAUUGCUGAUGAUACCACCACCAAGAAAUCAUCACCAUUAAUAUUUUGGCUUUUUUGUUUUCAGAUUUUUUCCAUUAUGAAAUUGUUGAUAUUUGAUCCUCUUGACCUAUAAAAAUGUUAAUAUCAUAUAGCUUACUCGAACAUAUCCAAAUAAUGUCAUAUAUAUUAUUUUAUGUACCAAAAAGCAUACUAAACAGAUUGUUUUAUAGCUUACUUUUCUCAUUUUUAACAUUAUAAUUUAAGCAUUUGUUCAUAAUAUUAAAACUUUUUGAAAACAUUAUUAUGAAUGACUAUUUCAAUAUGUGGAUGUACCACAACUUACCUAAUGAUUUACCUACUGGUAAUCAUUGAGUUGGACUGGUUGGACAUGAGUUGUUUCUAAUUUGUCGCUAUUACAAAUAAUGCUCUGAUAAAUAUGUAUAAUUAAUUUGUGUUUCAGAUUAUUUUUAUUUCUAGAAAUGAGAUUCUUGGUUAUAGGCUAAAUAUAUUUUCUUGGUUUUUUUUUUUGUUCAUUUGUUUGUUUGAGAUGGAGUCUCCCUGUCACCCAGACUGGAAUGCAGUGGCAUGAUCUUGGUUCACUGAAACCUCUGCCUUUCUGGUUCAAGCAAUUCUCAUGUUUCAGCCUCCCAAGCAACGUGUUGGACCUUCCGGAGCUUCUCAGAAGACAGAGGGUUUUCUUUUGAGGAUUUAAACCUCAGACACAGGGAGCUGACCUAUUCACCUUAGAAUCCUCUGGGGCACCCAUUACAGUGUCUGUACCAAGGAGGCAACAAAGAACGGCGGAACAGACUGGAGCAGAAGGACCACCCAGCAGAGCCAAGCCAAAUCACUGACCCUCAGAGGCCUGAUGUGAAUGCUUAUGGCUUCAGUCCAUUGGAUUCUGCAGUAAUCUGCCGAUCUACAGUAUUACCACAGUAAAUAACCGAUAGACCUGAAAACGAAUGCAUGCCUUGUGCCAAAAUUGCAGGAAACCUCACCAGGAGAAACAAUUUUAUAUGAGGGAAUGUACUCUCUCCUUUGCAUUUUCCCUCAAAUCUAUAUUUUUAGCCCCUCACUUGUCUCUACAGAGCCUCAGUUGCUUAAUCUAAUUGCUGACUGAACAUCUCCAGGAAACUGUGUGUACGUGUUUGUAUUCAUAGUAUAUUUAUUUAUUAUCUGUUUACUUCCAUGGGAUAUAGUCUCCAUAAGAGAGUAGUCAUCAUUGUAUUUGUUGAUGCUUAAUAAAUAAUCAUUGAAUGGGCCGGGUGUGGUGGCUCAUGCCUGUAAUCCCAGCACUUUUGGAGGCCGAGGUGGGCAGAUCACAAGGUCAGGAGAUUGAGACCAUCCUGGCUAACAUGGUGAAACCCUGUCUCUACUAAAAAUACAAAAAAUUAGCUCGGUGUGGUGGUGGGUGCCUGUAGUCCCAGCUACUCAGGAGGCUGAGGCAGGGGAAUGGCUUGAACCCAGGAGGCGGAGCUUGCAGUGAGCCGAGAUUGCGCCACUGUGCUCCAGCCUGGGUGACAGAGCGAGACUCUGUCUCAAAAAAAAUAAAAAAAUAAAAAACAAUAAAAUAAUCAUUGAAAGAAGGAAUCAAAGAAUGUGGUCCCGGGUUGGGUGCCCUUAGUUCAGUCCCUGAGAAUUUAUGAGUAUAAUGUUUUGCUUUUUAAAAAGUGAAAAAAGGGAGCAUAGUUUCAUUGAAGGAGAAGUUAAACUAUGACUCAGGCCCCCAAACAGUCUCACCUGACCCCAUAUGCUGCUGUUGGACUAAAAUGUCUCAAUAGAACUGUCCUUAGUCAGCCGCUUUACACCUGCUUGGAUUAGCCACUGGAUAUGAAGCUUCCCCAGAAAGUGGAGAGAACUCAGCAAGGGUGCUCUCCAUAGCUGAAGCAACCCUGGGAGGGCCUGAGAGCCAAGUCUAUCUUCCAACAGUAUUCCCAGCAAAUGGUGAAACAAGUCAUUCAUCAAGGAGGGAUCUAGGUGGCUGAUGCCUGCAUCAACCACAGUCUGCCUCUGUUCAGCUUGAAUCCAUUUCUUCAUUUGUAGUCUGAGGGUGUAAGACAAAUGCAUGUGUCUGUGUGUUCAGGAUUGUAGGAGGUGGAGGUCUGUAUGUUUAGGGUAGUGUGUCUUUGUGCAUACAAAGUUGGAGUUUGUAUGUAUGAAUUUAGGGAGUUUGAGGGGCUGUAUAUGUAUUAGGGAGGAAAGCCACCACAUAUGUUUGUGGUAGAGUUGGAGUUUUGUGUAUAAUGUGAGGAUUCUUUUGGAUUAUAUGUGUUCUGGACUGUGGGUAGUUUAUGUGGAUAUUCAGAGUAUGUGUAGGGAGCAUGUAUAUGUAUUUGAAGGAGGGUAAGGUUAUGUGAAGUAUGUGUUGAAUUCUGGUGGGAUGAGGCAUGUGUGAAUUCAUAGCUUCUGCAGGUUUUAUGCAGCUGGCCUGAGAAGGUUGGAGUGUCUAAUAUAUGCAUUUGGAGAUUGGGAGUUGGUGUGUCUGUGCAUUUAUUUGGAUCAUGGAAGGUUGUAGAUGUGUAUUUCUAACUGUAGAUGAUUGAGGAUGCAUAUUUGGGGAGUUUUGAGAGGACGUGUAUGUGUGUGUGUGUGCAGUGUGGUAUUUCUCUGUUUUUGAGGGUGGGGUAUGCAUCCAUCAAAAUAUCUCAGAUUAUCUGAUGUAAGAAAAUAAUUCUGCAUCUCAGUGACUUCCAACAAGGUAGGUUUCUCAUGUAUGUUAUGUGUCCUCCAUUGGUUGGCUUUGAUCAGUUACUGGUCCUGUGUCUUGGAUCCAGAUGGAUGGAGCAGCCUCAUUUGGGACAGGACUAGAAGGACUUCUUCUGCUCAGAGUCAUAUAUGGCAUUUCUGCUCACAUUUCAUUUGCCAUAACAAGUCAUGUGGCCAUACUCGAGUUAAACAGACUAGGGAUGUAUAAUCUCUCAGACAGAGAUACCACAGAGAAGGACCAUGAAUACUCUUCAUAGUGAUACAUCUGCCCCAUUGUGUAUACAUUCAGAACAUGUUCCAUUGCUGUGUUUAUAUUUCACUAAGGAGUAUGGGGAGUUGAUGAGGGAGUGUGUUUAGGUGUGUGAAGGCUGGUGUGUGACGAGGCAUUGGCAGGUGUGGGAUAUUUUUAUACUAACACAUUUUGGGGAUUUGUAUCUGUUUUGGGUAUUUGUAUUCUGUGUCAUGUAUAUGUGUUAUAUAUUUAAGAUAUAUAUUUAUGUAGGUAGGUUAAGUAUUCAGUGGUGUCAGAAAUGUGUUUUUAGGGGAAUAUGGGUGAGUUUUUAGUAUAUUACAGAAGCAUAGUGGGUUUUGGGUUUAUUCUGAGGGUACUGGAUAGUUAUGUGUUCCUAUUUGAAUGGUGUGUGUGUAUUUGCAUGCUGGGGGUGGUUUUGUGUAUUUUGACGGUACUGUGAGAUAUUGUGAAUAUGUGUGCAUACAUUUGAAAAGGCAGGUAAUGUUCUAUGUUUUAAUGCUUUGUGUUUUGGAUUUGUGUGUAUUCAGAGUAGAGGACUUUAUGCUUACGGUGUCUAGAUGAGAAUUUAGAUGUACAUUUUUGGUGUGAAGAAUUUGGAGGCAGAGAGAUGGCUGGGUGUAUUUGGGUGUUACCACUACAUGUAUGUAACCUGAGGAUAUGGACAGAAUAUUUAUAGUUUUCAAGAUGGAGGCUUGUGUAUGUUUGUAUUUGGGAGUAUACGGCCAUGUGUGUAUUUGGAUCUGUGAGUAUAUCGUGGGUGUGUUAUUCAAGCAUCUGCAUGUUUGAGUUUGUGUAAUCUGAAGAGUGUGAAUUUAUUCAGGAAAUGUGGUGGCUGUGCGUCCACUCUAGAGCUGUGAGUGUGUGGUCUGUGCUUCUACCAGGAGAGUAUAGGAUAAUUUCCUCUUUUUUUCUAUUUUUAUAACAUUUUAUGUAACUCAUAAAACAGUGUUUGUAUAAAAAUUCACACAAAGUUGCUAGAGAGCAUACGAUUUCCAAAAAUGUCCUGGGUUUUUCAUUACAUUAAGUUUUUCUAAGGAUGCACUCAAAUCAAUGGUAAAAUGCAGACAUUAUGUGACACUUCAUUAUCUUUAGCAAAACUAUUCUCACUACUUUGUCUCCUCACAGUAUUAACUCUGAUACCCACUUUGUGCAGGGUUUGCUAGUACUAGGAUGUCACAAAACCAUUAAGGCUGGAUCUACAAGAGGCAAAUAUUUCCAAACAGCAGUAAUAGCCCCUUGGCCCCCACCCCCACUUCAUAUAUCCAUACAGUCUGUCUACACAGUGAGGCAGGGUGCAAGCUCACCACCACUUGGGAGUCUCAAGAUCCUCCCUCUAUUGGGUGAGAAGCAAACAUUUGGGGAAAAUGUUGGAAACUGAGGCCGUCUCUACAGGAAACCACGUGGCCAUGCUCUAGUGUUUUUGGGUCAGCGACCCUUACCAAUUAAACGGCCACUCAGUACAUUCAUAACUAUCUUCAUUCUUUAAAAACUUACUAACAGAGAAACCAAUGAACCCUACCACCUACUGUGACUUACUAGUUCAGUCAACAUCAAAACGUGUCUGCUAAUUUUUUAGUCCUUGGGAUACAAGACAAAAAAAAACAAACAAGUAAAAACCAAAGAAUUUAGACAGGGGGAAGGAAAGGGAUUGCCAGUAGAUUUCAUGGAACACAUUAAAUUUUGAAAAAAAUCAGUAUUUUCUACUUCUCUUCCUUCGUGUAAAAAGUUUAAAAUAAAAAAAUGCCCACUGGAGCCACCUGUAUGGAUGGAGAAGUGAGGACAUGAUAUAGACAGGGCACAGGACCUGCAGUCGUUUCCUGACGACAGUCCAGAGGGACAGGAAUAGUUCCCAGGAUGUGUCCAUUUCUCUUCACAGAAAGGGACUGUAACAUUUUGAGGCAAGAAGCCCUACACGUGAAAGGUGUUAAGAAAAUCAUCACUGAAAUAUGGUUUCCAAAAAUUGAGCAUGCUCUAGGUUACAAACAGACAUAUUUAAUUCCUAGAACUUGUUGAACUUCUCUGACAUGGGUAGAUGGGAAUUUCAAAAGAGUUAUUAAUAAUUGUGGUUCUAAAGUUGCAGGGUCAACAUUUCACCCUCUAGAAAGCAGGGCAAUUCAGGGCUUAGAGUCUUCUUGUUUACAUCAUAGAAACCAGAACAAAUUUCAUGGGACCCCUCAGCCCCAACAACCAGCGGCCAGGUGGAGAGAAGGCCACAGCUGUCUUUGGGUAGGGAGCCUGUGUGUGCAUGCUGUGUGCAUGUGCUGGAGAGACUAAGGCAUAGAGAAGGGCCCAAGCAAUGAGGUAAAGUGAGUCUCCUGGCUGCGCUAGUCCCUUCUUUCCAGGCACAAAGAAGUUGAACUUGUUAUUCAUGUAGGCCCCCUUCCUCUCACCUCAGCUUUUAGUAAGCAGUGUGUGUGUGCACGAGUAGCUGUGUGUGACAGAGUAAGUCCCUGUGCCUUUCUAGAUUUCAGCAAUUCAGGUUUGCAGUUUCAACAGAAAUAAUCUGUAAAUGACACGAGCAAAUUUACAAGUUAGAUUAGCAACUUUACAUUGCUUAAAAUCUGAUAUUAUAUUUUUAAAAAUGCCUCUGGGUACAGGCAAAAUUAUGUCAUAUGGCCACUGGAACUGAAGUCCUUACCAGCUAUGUGAAGAAUAUUCAGAUUGUUUCUGUUAUCUCUGCAUUUUAAAGUAGCAAAAUACUAAGCCAUUAGGUUAUUGAACCUGUAAUAUUCCCACAGGGGUUUUAUGUCUACCCCAUGGGAUUCAAUUAAUUUUCCUGGACCCUGGUUAGACUGUUUCCUUUCCCUCUUAGGCAUUUGGCCCCCAAAGUUAGGUAGGUAAAAGUGUCAUUUUUAAAGAUUUUACCUGUCAGGGAAUUUCCUGGUUGGUGCUCCUGGAAAGCAUGCAGCUGGCCGGCGGGAGUCUGACAUUCUCAGUCAGUGGGGAGAGAAGACAUGUGUCUCCCAAAGCCAAGAGGUAGCCAGGUGGAGGACAGCAGGACUUUCUAGGGGGUCCAAGGGGAAAGUUCUGAGUGGACCCUGGGAAGGGACAUGGGUGCCCCAUCUGAGAUGACCUGUGUCCUUCCAAUGCCUGGUAUCCCCAAGAGGGGCCCAGACAUGGACCGCCCUGGGGAACGAGGAUGUGGUGCUGCCUGGAGGAGCUAACACUGAGGUUUGGGGAAGUCACCACACAGCUCCCAGAACCCAGAAUCUCUGACAAGCAACCAUGUGUGGAGAGGGAAUGGGGACAGUGGAAGGACACAGCUCAAAUGAAGACACUGCGGACAUGUUUCCAUGGCUUUCUACAUUCUUCAUCAUCAUCGAGUGUUCUCCUCUACACAGUGAGCACAACAUUUUACCCACGUGCCUGAUGGACAGGCCAAGCUGAAUGGAAGCCUUCUGAGGCACUGGAGCAGAAGGGAAAACUUGCACAUGGUCGCAAAGGACUUCACACUGUUCCAUCCCCUCUACUGCCAUCCAAGAGGCCUCUUGACUCUUCCAGAAUCAGAUGUAAAAGACAAGGGCAGUGGCACUGCUCGUCGUUGCUGGGGAUACAUUCGCAGUGCCACACCUCCUCCACCUUCUCCACGGGGUAGACGGCUUCCACCUAGUGGCAGAUGAGCCGCAGCUGCGUAGGGUCCAGCUGCUUCUUGUUGCAAGCCCGAAAAUUGUUGUACUGCAGCUGGAGGUUCUCGGCGGUGGAGGAGCCCCGCGGCAAAGUUGCCCACGGAGAGGCUCUGCUGCACGAUCUUGCACACCUCCUUGUCGGACAGCAGGUAGGGAGAGCGCACCGGGAAGCUCAGUGAGGGACCACCACCUCAUCCAAGGGGAUCUUGCAGAAGUCCUUGCUGCUCCUCUCGGGGGCAGCGGGGGACCCUCAGACUCCUCUCUGAACCUCUCAGGAUUGAUUGCAUAGCUCCUCAUGUCUUUACACUCGGGGCCAGCACGUGGACCUUGCACUGCUGCUGGUAGGAGCGCCUCUGUUCCUGUUCCAGUGCAGGUUGCCCAUGAACUCAAGGGUCCAGACGCGAUUGUUUUUGGUGCAGAGGUAGAGCAGGUGCACUUAGUGGCGAAUGAGCUUGAUGCAGGACGGGUCCAGCUGCUUCUUGCCCAGGGAGUCGCUGCAGCUGUGCUGCUUGUGCAGGUUGUCAUGGGUGAAGAGCUUGGGGAAUAGGGGCACCAGCAGGCGCGAGGUGAAGUUGCCGAUGGACAGGCUGCUCUCGUAGAUACUGUGAAGAUGCUCGUUGCUGAGCAGGCCGUCGGCGCCGGGCACCUCCAAGUUGGGCUGGGGAUCUCCAAUUUGACCAAGUCGAUAGGUACCAGUCAGAUCUUCUUGGAGCGGCACCGCUCGCCCUUGAAGCUAUCCUCCACCCUGAUUACUGAGAUGUCAUCGGGCAGGCUGGAGGAGUUGUAGCAGUUGUCGCGUGGGGGGCUCGCCUUCGCUGCCUGCGUCCAGCCCCAGGCCCUGAAGCUUGUCGUUGAUGCACUGGGCGCACCGCUGCAGCCAGGCCUCCUCCUCCUGCAUGUGGGGGAAGUAGACCUCCGUGAAGUUGCAGAUGAUCUGCAGCCUCUGCGGGUCCAGGUCCUGCUUGCCGCCAGGCCUCCUCCUCCUGCAUGUGGGGGAAGUAGACCUCCGUGAAGUUGCAGAUGAUCUGCAGCCUCUGCGGGUCCAGCUCCUGCUUGCCGCCGUCCCCGUAGCAGCUGUCCUGCUCGCCCAGCUUGCGGUAGUGGAAGAGCUCAGGGAAGAGCCAGUGGAGGAGGAAGACGGCAAACUCGCCUGUGAAGAGGCUUCAUGCAGGAACUAAGUGAGGGCCUACAUGUCCACCACGUGGUCUGAGGCGAUGGUGCUGCUCCAGUCCAGAGACAGGCCCUCCUCCUCGUCUUUGUGGUCCAGGAAGUGGCCGGGGUCCACUGCUCAGCCUCAAGCUGGCAGCCUGGCCACCGGGCUGGCUGUUCUCCAUCUCCCGCUGGGCCCAGAAGUGGCUGAAGAACUUAUUCAGCUGGGGCAAGCACUCGGCCUGUCACACAGCCCUCUCCUUCACCGAGGGGUAGUAGACCUCCAUGUAGUUGUGGAUGAGCUGCAGGUGCAGUGACUCCAGCUUAAGCUUGGCCUCAAAGCUGCAGGCACUGCAGCCUCGGGAGAAGUUGACUGUGGCUGAAGAGCUUGGGGAAGAGCUGCACCAGCGGGCAGCAGGCCAGGACCCCGCCUGACAGGCUCUG
rnacentral:lncRNA from 1 species